GCUAAGGCGUUGAAGCAGUGUAUGUCAGACUUCCAAGAAAAGCUCGCAAUGUCACAAAUAAAAAUGCCUGUACCAUAACCGACACAGGUGGGUAGGUAGAGUAUACUAAGGGGCGCGAGAUAACUCUCUCUAAGGAACUCGGCAAAAUGACUCCGUAACUUCGGGAGAAGGAGUGCCUUAUUUAUAAGGUUGCAAUAACAAGAUCCAAGCAACUGUUUAUCAAAAACACAGGUCUCCGCUAAGUCGUAAGACGAUGUAUGGGGGCUGACGCCUGCCCAGUGCCAGAAGGUUAAAGAAGUUGGUUAGUGUAUGCGAAGCUGAUGACUGAAGCCCUGGUGAACGGCGGCCGUAACAAUAACGGUCCUAAGGUAGCGAAAUUCCUUGUCGGGUAAGUUCCGACCCGCACGAAAGGCGUAAUGAUUUGGAUACUGUCUCGGAGAGAGGCUCGGUGAAAUAGACUUGUCUGUGAAGAUGCGGACUACCUGCACCAGGACAGAAAGACCCUAUGAAGCUUUACUGUAACUUGAAAUUGGAAUUGGACUUUGCUUGCGCAGUAUAGGUGGGAAGCGUUGAAAAUAUUCUUGCGGGAGUAUUGGAGCUAUCAGUGAGAUACCACUCUUGUAAUGUUAGAUUUCUAACUUUGAACCAUAAUCUGGUCAAAGAACAGUUUCAGGUGGGCAGUUUGACUGGGGCGGUCGCCUCCCAAAUGGUAACGGAGGCGUACAAAGGUUUCCUCUGAACGGAUAGAAAUCGUAUCUAGAGUGUAAAGGCAUAAGGAAGCUUGACUGUGAGACCUACAAGUCGAGCAGGGACGAAAGUCGGUCUUAGUGAUCUGACGGUACUGAGUGGAAAGGCCGUCACUCAACGGAUAAAAGUUACUCUAGGGAUAACAGGCUGAUCUCCCCCAAGAGUUCACAUCGACGGGGAGGUUUGGCACCUCGAUGUCGGCUCAUCGCAUCCUGGGGCGGUAGUACGUCCCAAGGGUUGGGCUGUUCGCCCAUGAAAGCGGUACGCGAGCUGGGUUCAGAACGUCGUGAGACAGUUCGGUCCAUAUCCGGUGUAGGCGCUAGAAUAUUGAGAGGAGCCUUCUUUAGUACGAGAGGACCGAGAAGGACACACCGCUGGUGUACCAGUUAUCGUGCCAACGGUAAACGCUGGGUAGCUAUGUGUGGAGUGGAUAACCGCUGAAAGCAUCUAAGUGGGAAGCCCACCUCGAGAUGAG
rnacentral:rRNA from 1 species